rnacentral:rRNA from 1 species
AUGAGCAUUGGUCUGUUGCUAGGACGAAAGCACACGAGCAACAAGCAGGUGGUGGAGGCGGAGGUGGUGCUCCAGGAAGACCAGGUGGUCGGCGCAUCGUGGCAGAUGCAACAUGUGUACAACUACGGUGCCAGCAACAACGGCUACUACUUGAGGAACGUGAGCAGCAUCGGCUACGACGUGCUUUUCGACCAUAUGUGGCAUCGUGCGCCGGGACGCGACGACGUUGACGCCUGUCGGCUGGCGCCCGCCUAUGUGGGGUGCGCAAGUAGGUGGCCAGGAUAA